rnacentral:tRNA from 1 species
GCGCCCGUAGCUCAGCUGGACAGAGCGUUUGGCUACGAACCAAAAGGCCGGGGGUUCGAGUCCCUCCGGGCGCACCA